rnacentral:rRNA from 1 species
UACGUAGGUGGCAAGCGUUGUCCGGAUUUAUUGGGCGUAAAGCGCGCGCAGGCGGUGCGGUAAGUCUCUGGUGAAAGCGCUCGGCUUAACUGGGCGAGGGCCGGGGAGACUGCCACGCUGGAGGGGAGCAGAGGCGAGUGGAAUUCCGGGUGUAGUGGUGAAAUGCGUAGAGAUCCGGAGGAACACCAGUGGCGAAGGCGGCUCGCUGGGCUGUACCUGACGCUGAGGCGCGAAAGCGUGGGGAGCGAACAGG